rnacentral:rRNA from 1 species
UGGGGAAUAUUGCGCAAUGGGCGAAAGCCUGACGCAGCAACACCGCGUGAGGGAUGACGGCCUUCGGGUUGUAAACCUCUUUCAGCUCCGACGAAGCGAAAGUGACGGUAGGAGCAGAAGAAGCACCGGCUAACUACGUGCCAGCAGCCGCGGUAAUACGUAGGGUGCAAGCGUUGUCCGGAAUUAUUGGGCGUAAAGAGCUCGUAGGCGGUCCGUUGCGUCUGCCGUGAAAACCCGGAGCUCAACUCCGGGCCUGCGGUGGAUACGGGCGGACUAGAGUCCGGUAGGGGAGACUGGAAUUCCUGGUGUAGCGGUGGAAUGCGCAGAUAUCAGGAGGAACACCGGUGGCGAAGGCGGGUCUCUGGGCCGGAACUGACGCUGAGGAGCGAAAGCGUGGGGAGCGAACAGGAUUAGAUACCCUGGUAGUCCACGCCGUAAACGGUGGCGCUAGGUGUGGGGAUCGUUUCCACGAUCUCCGUGCCGUAGCUAACGCAUUAAGCGCCCCGCCUGGGGAGU